rnacentral:rRNA from 1 species
CCUACGGGUGGCAGCAGUGAGGAAUAUUGGUCAAUGGGCGUGAGCCUGAACCAGCCAAGUAGCGUGCAGGAUGACUGCCCUACGGGUUGUAAACUUCUUUUAUACAGGAAUCAAGUGAGUCACGUGUGCCUUUUUGUAUGUACUUUAUGAAUAAGGAUCGGCUAAUUCCGUGCCAGCAGCCGCGGUAAUACGGAGGAUCCGGGCGUUAUCCGGAUUUAUUGGGUUUAAAGGGAGCGUAGAUGGGAUGUUAAGCCAGAUGUGAAAGGUCGCGGCUCAACCGUAAAAUUGCCAGUGAUACUGGCAGGCUUGAGUACGGGUGAGGUAUGCGGAAUUCGUGGUGUAGCGGUGAAAUGCUUAGAUAUCACGAAGAACUCCGAUUGCGAAGGCAGCUUACGAAAGUGCCACUGACAUUGAUGCUCGAAGGUGUGGGUAUCGAACAGGAUUAGAUACCCUUGUAGUC